AGAGUUUGAUCCAUGGCUCAGAGUGAACGCUGGCGGUAGGCCUAACACAUGCAAGUCGAACGGCAGCACAGUAAGAGCUUGCUCUUAUGGGUGGCGAGUGGCGGACGGGUGAGGAAUACAUCGGAAUCUACCUUUUCGUGGGGGAUAACGUAGGGAAACUUACGCUAAUACCGCAUACGACCUUCGGGUGAAAGCAGGGGACCUUCGGGCCUUGCGCGGAUAGAUGAGCCGAUGUCGGAUUAGCUAGUUGGCGGGGUAAAGGCCCACCAAGGCGACGAUCCGUAGCUGGUCUGAGAGGAUGAUCAGCCACACUGGAACUGAGACACGGUCCAGACUCCUACGGGAGGCAGCAGUGGGGAAUAUUGGACAAUGGGCGCAAGCCUGAUCCAGCCAUACCGCGUGGGUGAAGAAGGCCUUCGGGUUGUAAAGCCCUUUUGUUGGGAAAGAAAAGCAGUCGAUUAAUACUCGGUUGUUCUGACGGUACCCAAAGAAUAGCAUC
rnacentral:rRNA from 1 species